GGUCAUUACUGAACCGUCGACACGAGUUGUUGCUGGUCCCCAAAAGGGGGCAUGUGCACGCUCUGUCUACACAUCCACUCACACCUGUGCACCCUCUGUAGUUCUAUGGCCUUGUGGACUCUGUCCUCUUGCCGUGGUCCUGCAUCUUUACACACACACCGUAAUACAGUCUUAUGGAAUGCAUGUCGCGUUUAACGCAAUACAAUACAACUUUCAGCAACGGAUCUCUUGGCUCUCGCAUCGAUGAAGAACGCAGCGAAAUGCGAUAAGUAAUGUGAAUUGCAGAAUUCAGUGAAUCAUCGAAUCUUUGAACGCACCUUGCGCCCUUUGGCUAUUCCGAAGGGCAUGCCUGUUUGAGUAUCAUGAACACCUCAACUCUCAUGGUCUGCCGUGAUGAGCUUGGACUUUGGGGGUUUUGCCGGCUUAACUGUCGGCUCCUCUCAAAUGGAUCAGCUUGCCAGUGUUUGGUGGCAUCACAGGUGUGAUAACUAUCUACGCUUGUGCUCUUCCACCAGGUAACCUCCAGCAAUGGAGGUUCGCUGGAGCUCACAGACGUCUCUCCCCAGGGAGGACAGCUUUUGAACGUUUGAUCUCAAAUCAGGUAGGACUACCCGCUGAACUUAA
rnacentral:rRNA from 1 species